GAUGAACGCUGACGGCGUGCCUAACACAUGCAAAUCGAGCGAUCUUCUUCGGAAGAGAGCGGCGGACGGGUGAGUAACGCGUGGGUAACCUGCCUCAUACACAUGGAUAACAUACCGAAAGGUAUGCUAAUACAAGAUGAUAUAAGAGAUUCGCAUGGAUUUCUUAUCAAAGCUUUUGCGGUAUGAGAUGGACCCGCGUCUGAUUAGCUAGUUGGUAAGGUAAUGGCUCACCAAGGCGACGAUCAGUAGCCGACCUGAGAGGGUGAUCGGCCACAUUGGAACUGAGACACGGUCCAAACUCCUACGGGAGGCAGCAGUGGGGAAUAUUGCACAAUGGGCGAAAGCCUGAUGCAGCAACGCCGCGUGAGCGAUGAAGGCCUUCGGGUCGUAAAGCUCUGUCCUCAAGGAAGAUAAUGACGGUACUUGAGGAGGAAGCCCCGGCUAACUACGUGCCAGCAGCCGCCGUAAAAC
rnacentral:rRNA from 1 species